CGCAGCCACCGACCUGAUGACACUGAUGUGGAACUGGUCCUCGCGAAGGCCCCGCCAGGCACCGGGCAGAAACUCCUUGCACCACAGGUGGCCUAGGCAGCUACAAGAUGAAAGGGAUGAGCAUCAUGAUGAGGAACCUCAUGGAGUCACCACGUGGAGGAGAGUUGCACCAGCUGACCCAUCCCCACCGACACAGGAUUCUUUCCUCUGCCACGCCCACCUCCCGUGGUGAUGAACGUGGUGAACUGUCUGCUUUCUUCUCUGCCUUCAACUGAAGAAGACAGGAAACAGAAAAUGGCUAGGCAGUCUACAGACAGGGACCCUGAAAGUGAGCGGUUUUGUUCUUGACCUUAGGGAAAAAGCAGGAAAUGUCCUUAUUUCUCUGGCCAGGAAUGCUAAAAGGAAGCCCUGGUUGCUCAACUAAGUGAGUAUUCUGCCUGGAGGCUUUAAACAAAAGGUGUGAUUCAAAGUGCAGUCCCUGGGUGUACAGCUUCGGAAUUGAGUCUCUAAAUUGUCGUGGUGGAAAUAGAUUAUAUAUUUUCCCCAACUUCAGCCCAUCUCCUAAGGUCUCUUCUCUAGGGGAGGGGGUGUUGUUAGUCUUGGAGAUCACUGACAAUGAAUA